rnacentral:lncRNA from 1 species
GACACAAAAGCAAACAUUUUUAAGAGACUUUAUAGUUUUAUAAAAAAGACACAGUACCUAAGCAAAAAGUCACAGCUUGCAAACCCCACUUAAGGCCAUCUACCAACCCUUUCCCCUAGAACACAGAGCCCUGAGCAGGAUUCACCAAGCCUAUAAAAGCCCAGCACUGAGGAACGCCUCAGGCAACUUUAGGAUCUUGAUCUUGGAUUUGAUAAAUCUAGUCUUCCAUGUUUACUCACUUCAGGUUAAAAAAGCAGCCAAACCUUACCUAAUCCUCUCCACUUUAACAACAGUAGACGUAAAUAAACAUUUAUUGUUUUUUUCAAAAUAAACAAGCCAAUUAGAGGUUAUUGGAAAACACAUAUUCAAUGCAGGUGGCAAAAUCAGUUACAGAGGGAAUCUGGGCAUGUUUCCCAGGGUCUGUGGGUUCUGAACUCGCAAUGAGAUCUCAACCUCUGUCACUCUGUGGAUCUCUGAAUCUCCCCCCUGUGAUGAAAUUUGAGGAAAUUAUCCAGGUGUAAGAAAGAAAUCAAUGAAGAGGAAGCAGAAAUGGAGCAAACUUGUUAUGUCUCCUGGUUGACAAUUAACUUUUGCUAAUAAAAAAGUAAAAACCCAUCUUCAGACUCUUUAACAAUCAAGUUUAGUGUUUAUCCAAGCAGUUAAAACUCAAGGUCUACUGAAACAGGCAGCAUAGACAGGCUAAUUAAUUUCUUAUCCUAGAAAUAAUCUUCAGACAGGGGCAGAAAUGGGCAGAAUGUGAACAGAGACAUGAACAGAUAAGGGGAGGGGAAAAAAACCCUAGAAAUAAAUUCAUUAAAAAUAGGAAUUGGCGUUCCUGCUGUGGCUCAGUGGUUAAUGAGCCCGACUAGUAUCCAUGAGGUUGUGGGUUUGAUCCCUGGCCUUGCUCAGUGGGUUAAGGAUCCAGUGCUGCCGUGAGUUGUGGUGUAGGUCGCAGACGUGGCUUGGAGCCCAAGUUGCUGUUGCAGCAGCUGUGGUUGUAGGCCAGUAGCUACAGCUCUGAUUCGACCCCUAGCCUGAAAACUUCCAUAUGCUGCAGGGGCAGCCCUAAAAAAAAAAAAAAAAAAAAAAAAAAGAAAGAAAAAAGACGUAGGAAUUUUUUUUUCCGUUUCCACUGAGCCACAAUGGGAACUUUAGACACAGGAAUUGCUAAAUACCACAUUCAUAAAGACUUUACCAGCCAAGGGUGAUUUAGCUCCACACCGUGGCCCAGCUUUGGGAAGCCAGAUGGAUCUUCCAGCCUCACAAAUUCUGUCCAGUUUCAGUACUGUAUUGAACUAUUAGUCCAGAGAAUUCUCUGGAGAUCAGGCUGGUUCUGGUAUCUGCUUCCUGACAAGGUCAGGUCUUCUUAGGGUAGAGAGAUGCUCACCAGUCUGAGACCUUCAGAGCCAUGCUGAGCUCACACUAAAAUGGCCUCGGAUCUGCUAGUGACCAAGUGAGCUCUUCUUCUGAAACCCCAAACUAGUAAUAAAGUAUAUUUCAGAUGACUUGGGCUUGGAUAAGAGUUCCCAGAUUCUUCACUCAAAAACCCAUACAAGUGAGUGGGUAAUUAGGGGAUCGAUGAAAUCAAGGCUCAUCAAGGAUUGACCUCUUCUCAAUUGGAGAAGAUUUUGCAAUCAGUUAAAAAUACUUGGGGGCAUCUCCUAUGAAGCACAGACAGUGCUAGAUUCUACAAGUAUGACAGACCCAUGUAAGACAGCAUUUUUUUUUUUUAAUCCCCAGGACACUGAGAUAAGAAAGAGAAGCUGUAAAAACAUAACAAUAUAUAUAUUAAAAAGUUCCAUAUAAUUCUGAAAUUGGACAUAAGAUAAAGAGCUCUGUACUCAUAUCAUUAUCUCUACCUGGUUUUGUCAUCUUUUCAAUCUUCAAGCCCAGAAAUCCUACCACACCUGCUCAAGGCCAUUCCUGGCCUCCUCCAAUUCCCACUUCCACCUCUUUCUCUAUUUCCCCCCUUCUUUGAAGGCCCAAGACACAUUCUAGCUUUCUUGCAGCAUUUACCACACUUAGGCUCCUGUUAGUGACUUCUGUGUACAUAUUGCCUCUGACAGACUAAGAUAAAACACAGACUUCAACUCUGCAUAUCUUGGCAGUAACAUUGACACUUGUUCAAUUUAAAUUGAUUGCUAAAUGAAUAGAUUUUCCAAACAAUGGACAAUGUUUUUCAUCUUACAUGCCAGUUCCCUAUGAUUAACAGUGGUUGCCUGGAGGAUAGUUCUGGGGAUUCAGAGGCUGUAACAAUGCUCUGAGGUAAAGAGUACUUUAAUCAAUUAGUGGUGUCUUCCACAGGACUGGACUGGGAGUAGUGGUUCAAAUGGACUGUAAUUUGAGAAUAUAAAUUAAGGGUUAUAAAAAGCACAGAGGAGGGAAAUCAUUUCUGAUUGGCAGUCAGAGAAGUGUAUAUGGUAAGAAUGAAAAUUAGAUCCAUCAUCAAUGAUGAGUAGGAUAACAGUAGGUGAAACACAUGAAUAAAAACAUAGGGUGGGAGAAUACAACACAUCCUAGGAAAGCAACUCUUAGACAAGCUCAACUAGAGUAAGUUCAAUGGAAGAUUUGUGUGGGAGAUAAAUGGGGAAAGGACUAAACACUGUGGAAUGCCUCAGGUAAAGGAACAGGAUAAAGAAAAGCCAAGAGACAGACAAAGGAUGGACUAAGGAGGCUAUUAGCUUUAUUUAGCUAUUGUACAAGAGUGAAGUCUGUGAGAAUGCGCUGAACUAUCAAUGAGGUAUAUCAAGGGUGGCUAGGAAGUGGCCUUGCUUAAAGUUAAUGACUAAAGUUCUGGAGUCAGAUAGUCCUGGGUGCAAAUUCCAGCUCUGACUGUGACCUCAUGUGACUUAACCCAUGUAAAUUUCAGUCUCCUUAUCUGUAAAAUACCCUUCUUACUUCAUUGUUCUGAGGGAAAUAAUGUACAUAAAAGUCAUAAUAAGCCUUCUAUAAAUAGUAGCUAUUAGGCUUGGUUAACCACAAGAAAUUUUCAAAGGAGAAAAUGUGUCUCCCUCAUUGUCUCACAAUUUGGGGAAUCUUAUAUGAAACCUGUAAAGUACUUAAGUGGCUCAGAAAACAAUUAGGUAAAUUAAAUGGCCACAGAUAUAGAACAGAAUCAGUUUAUUUCCCGGGAAUGCUUAGAGGCUUGGAAAUUACACUUUCUGUGGUUAGGCAUUUCUGGUGAUGGUGCAUUUUUUUUUUGUUAACUUGAUUCUUUACUGAAUUAUAAGUAACCAGAUAACUCUUAAGCAACAGAACAGUGGUAGAAUGAAAAUUUUAAUUUUAUAAUCUCAUUUAAGCAUCCUCCUCUAAGGGUUACCUCCUUAAUUAAGUGUAGUUUUAACCUCCUACCUCCUAAGAGCAGCGAGUGCAAACAGUAGUCUCAAUGCAGCUAUAGGAAUUAACACACGGUGCAGACCCUCACUAACAUCACUUCUGACCAGAAGUUCCAGUCCUAAAGGCACCAUGUGGCUCCAACAUGCAGACCUAGCAGAGGUCACAUGAUGCUGGUAUCAGGACCCUUCCUGGACACAUGAAGAUCAGCUAUGACAACUGUCCUGCCUAUGGACCCAUUAGGGACUCUGUGACCAAGAGGGCCCUGGAAAUAACGAUCUUAGCCUGAAUGUGGAGGGACCAGUGAGAGCAUCUUGUCUCCUCAGUGCUGGUUCAUGGUCCCCUGGUAGAGAAUGAGGCACAGCAUCUCUCCUGUUCUGAUGGAGUGUGGACUGCUGCUUAGAGCUCACAUAACUGGGGCUAGGCCUGGGCAAGGAAACACCCAGGACACACGGCAUGAAGUGUAAGCUGAGACAAGGUCUGCUCAUUCCGGAAAGUGCAGGAGUAUUUGCUGGAAAGGAAAUAAUUCGGCUUAUGGUAAUGGAACAGGCAUUCAGCAGAUAAUUUUCAAAGGUAGGGUAGUAACGUUUCUGGCAACGAGUGAGUCACUGAAACACUUCCUUUCCAUUAACAGAGGUGUUACUGUGGAGCGUACUAAUUACAACAGAGCACUCUUUGUCACAGUUUGGGGCUGUUUCCUCAGCAAGUAUAAUGAAUUAGCUCCUUCUCAAUCUAUCUGCCAUCCUAAACUAUAGCUCUGAGGUGGAUUAGUGGCUUAAUAAUAACUGUCUCCAAUACUGUCUUCUACUAUGUUUAACAUUCAAAAUAGGAACGGUCAUUGAAAACUCUUGCUACUCUAAUAGACACUGCUGCAGGAGAGUUUAAGUGGGCCACUUGAUAAUGUCUAAAAUGAGUUCAUUUUCUUUGAGAGUGCUGGAAUCCCCACGGUAUAUGUGACCUCAGGUCUCCAGACACCAACAUGGAAGAGCUAUGCAGUUCCUCAGGCAAACAGAGCUGCCUGGCACCAGGCCAGCAUGUCAGUGACUCCCUAUAGGACAGCUAUUUUCAGUCUCAGCUCUGUUAAAGGUAAUUACAAUUCUGGAGGAGUAAUUAAUGUGGAAAGCUUUCUCUUUAUAAGCAAGUGCUCACAUGAGCAUGCAUAUGCUCUAAAAUACCUAAUUCCAAAUCCCAUUUAUUUAUACCUUGUCUGACAAAGCCAGGCUUUUUACCCAUCUGAGCUACUAUGUGAGCUCCAACAAAUUCCAAUUUGGCAUGUGUUAAUGUCCUACAUCCUAUGCCUUCAUUUGAAGCUUACUUUAUUUCUUAUGCCUACUGUUCAAAUUUUUGACAAAUGGGUGAGUUUGGUCAACUAAAAACUAGAACCUCUUUAGCGAUUCCCCAGCUCUGGUGGGUUCCAAUUUGAUAUUAAAAAUGAAAGCACCAGGUAGAGGCAUUCAAAGCCCAAAAUUGCUUCCCUAAUUCUUCAAUAUGUGAAACUGGGGUCAGCUAAUGUAUUGUUUUUCUAAGGUACUUAAUUAAGCAGCUACAUGCAAGAUAUAUAUAUAUAUACAACAUAAGUUUAUUACACCUCAUAUUACUGUCAUCUAAGACCAGGGUAGAAGAGUACCCUGGUAACAGUCCAAUACACCAUUUGUAUUAUUAUACUUCAAGUCACAGAUGUAGAACAACUGAUUCAAUACUAAGAUCAUUCAAUCUACCUUUAACCCUUCCUUAGUUCCCUAAGGAAGAGUUACUCUAGCAAUGAACUGAGGAAUGACUACACAAUCAUAGAGCUAAGGGAUCUUAAACCUAGAAGGAACUUCAGGGAUUUUCUGACCCAGGGUCAACAAGUAUGCAGCACACAUGCCACUAUUUCCUAAUCUUAAGCCCUUGGCAGACAUCAGUAAUCAAUUUCAGAACUUGUGUUUCUAAUUCUUUUUCAACAAAUAUGUCACACCAGACAUUUCUAGUACCUGAAAAUGGGAGCUGGAACAUGAAAAAAAUCUCUUUUCUCUUCCAGCUAACCCAAACUUCUCUUCCUUCUGAUAAGAAACAAAGAUCCAGGGAGUGUCAGAUAGGCUUUCUUACAUUGCAAUUAGCAGUCAGUCUCAUUACUUUAAGGUCUCCUUUAAGGUUUCAGUGCCUGGAUAAUAGGAAUGCCUUUGCCCUCUAGGGGUCUAUAAUCUAGUUUUGAGGAAGAAAAGUUUAACAUGCUUGGUAAGUAUAUGUAAACUAAAUGUUAAUCUGUCUUACUGAUGUAGAUCAGAGAAGGCUGAAUGAAGGAGGCAGAGAAGAAUGCACGGUGGAAUUCAAGCUUAGCUUACUAUCUCUCUGGGUCAUAAAUGACUAAACAAUUCAACAAAUGUAUUUAGCCCACUGGGUACUGUGACAGGUGUCUUGGAUUAGAUAGAGGGGCAGUAGAGAAUUCCUUCCCUCAAGAGCUCAUGGGUCAAUGGAGAAGGCAGAAAAUCAGAAUAUAUUCUUAGAAUAAUAAAUAGCAAGUAGAUACAGGUUCUGUACAGUGGGAGAGCAUGAUCUUUCUUUUCCAAGCCACUGCCUCCUAUAGGCCUCCCUCUCCUGCUAGAGAUCACCAACUCCUUCCAAGGAUCAAACCCAGCCAAGCCUCAUCAGGUUAACCUGCUGAACACAUUACACAGCUGUCUUUUCCUUUCUGCUCCCACUGCUGCUGCCCAGCUGAGGCCCCAUCUCUCUCUCUCUCUGCUUAGACCUUGACAGUAACCCCCUUGGAGUUCUGCCCACUUGCAAGAUCACCCUCCUUGGAAACAUUUUCCACAUCCAUUUGCCUUAGUGACCUUUUUUAGACACAGCUCUGUGUCACUGUCCAGCUUAAUCCUCAGAACCAUGUCCAAACUCAUCAGCAUGGCAUUAUAGCCCCUCUAGGAUCUGGGCUCUGACCUCUGUGGCAGUCUUGCUCACCUCACUCCCACUCCUAUAUCCCUCAAUCACACCCUUUGCACCAAGCCACUUAGUUAGAAGGUAGGAAGGGCACACCUUGAAGGUGGAAAGAAUAGUAGGGCACUGCAUGGACAGAGGUGUAAGGGUGAGUUUGGGCCUAGAAUGGAGAUCAGCCUGGCUGAUCAGUGUGGCAAAUCCCACAGCAGCAGUGUUCCUCCAAGGUGCACACUGCAAUUCUGAGAGUCCUGUAGAGGAGUGUUUCUGCCCCUUCUGUCUCAGGGGGAAAUAGGGGCAACUACAGCCCAAAGUGUACACUAUAGAAUCCUCAUUCCCUACCUCAAUAUGGCACACAGCCAGACCAUCAAGGUUCUCAGAAGGGUCAGCAAGGACCAAAUAUGACAAGAAGAGGAGUGAGACAGAGAAAAGCAGUUGGAAGGAGGGGAAGGGAAUGUAGAGGAAGAUCUGGCAUUGCCAGGUGUUACCUGAGUGAUCCUGAGUGAGUCUGGCACUACUCUGAGUCUGUUUCUUCAU